GGGACACAACACACACACAUGCAUGCAUGCAGGCAGGCAGGCAGGGAGGCUGGCCCACAGCCUGGCUGCAGAGCUCUGACGUUAACACAAUAACCUUGGAGGACCCAGCGACGGAAAGAGAGAUGGCGAGGACUAACAGGAAGUACACGGGAUAUAAGAUCAACAAUUGUCUGCUUCUACUUAUUUGACACAGGCCCCCGUGGAAGCUGGAGAGGCUGAGCGAGAAAGACAGGAGUUCUAUUUAUGUGGUUACGAAAACCAAAAUGGAAAUGGAGCUACCUGUACUGUCCGCCAACAGCAUACCAGGAUACGCCCCCGCACACUCUGAGCACUUCACGCCCGCGCUUCGCCGCAGCUGUGGACUGAAAGCAAUCAACCCACCUGACAGCAAUCAGGAGGACAGCAUAAAGGCCAGUCACUCCUUGGAACCUGCGCCGGAACGUCGUUAACUCUCGUAUUGCCUCCCUCGAUCCUCGAUCUCUCGCCUGGACUCAGACCUUGUUUGCUUGCCGCCUGCCCUCGACUUCCUGCCUGUCCCCGAAUCUUCCUUGUGCCUACUCCUCCUUGACCAGACGCAGGGUUCAUUCAACACGCAUCUACAACAUCCUCUUGUUUCUUUCACAUGGUUAAAUUCACACUUAAUCCUGCAACCAACAGUUUGAGUAGCAUACACAUCCCACAAAAUCAUCAAGGUUACAAUAAACCCGGUAACCUUA